UACAGAGGGUGCAAGCGUUGUUCGGAAUUAUUGGGCGUAAAGGGUGCGUAGGCGGUCGGGUAAGUCUGACGUGAAAUCUCCAAGCCUAACUUGGAAACUGCGUUGGAUACUAUCCGGCUCGAGGAAUGGAGGGGAGACUGGAAUACUUGGUGUAGCAGUGAAAUGCGUAGAUAUCAAGUGGAACACCAGUGGCGAAGGCGAGUCUCUGGACAUUUCCUGACGCUGAGGCACGAAAGCCAGGGGAGCAAACGGG
rnacentral:rRNA from 1 species